ensembl:lncRNA
ACCACCGGCCCGGCCUGUCUGCAGCGCGGCGUCUGAGGUCACUGGGCUCCAGCUUGGGGCUAACUCAGGCAUUACACACAAACACCUUUCCUUUGUUUCAUUGGUGCAGGGCCACCUAAAUGUCUCAUGCUAUAAUCUACUACAGGGUUCUUGUGUUCUAAAGGUCUCAUGCUAUAAUCUACUACAGGGUUCUUGUGUUCUAAAGGUCUCAUGCUAUAAUCUACUACAGGGUUCUUGUGUUCUAAAGGUCUCAUGCUAUAUAAUCUACUACAGGGUUUUUGUGUUCUAAAGGUCUCCUGCUAUAUAAUCUACAGGGUUCUUGUGUUCUAAAGGUCUUCUGCAAUAAUCUACAGGGUUCUUGUGUUCUAAAGGUCUCAUGCGAUAAUCUACUACAGGGUUCUAAAGGUCUCCUGCUAUAAUCUACUACAGGGUUCUAAAGGUCUCCUGCUAUAAUCUACAGGGUUCUUGUGUUCUGUUUCGUUAUUUUGGUUUCAUGCUUCACAUAAUCACAAUUGGGAUCCUUAGCAUAAUCACCAGCAUGUUUUAAAUGAUGAUAAUUGAAAUAAACUCUUGUAAAUGAUAGCUACUACACAGAUAAGAGGACAUUGUUGACACAAAGAGGCGAGGUAUCUUACAGAGCCAGAUGGGUAGCUAAAGGAAAUAGACAGGUUGGGAGUCUUGGGACCCAGUAUUCAAUGCACUGCUCAAAUGACAUGAACAGGCUUCUCUUUUCCACUCUCUUUUUUCUUAACUUUUUCUGUUAUUUUUAUUAAUUUUUUAUCCUCAUUUCUCAAUCUAUCUUUCCCUCCUUUCCGUCUCUUUUCUUCUUUUCCUGUGUUCUUUACGAAUCUUCUGUUCAUUCUGUAGCUGGUAGGUCUGCUCCUCCUCAGACUAGUUUUCCUGCUGAACUGCCAGUAGAGGGUUGUGCCCCCCCACACUGAUAGAGAGAUAGAGAGAUAGAGAGAUAGAUAGAGAGAGAGAGAGAGAGAGAGAGAGAGGCAAGGCGUUAGACCUGGGGAUGUGGGCACUGAGAGGGAGAGAACAAGGAAUGGAGGGAGGGAGGGAGGGAUACAGACAAAAGGAGAAGAGGAUUUGCUUCCAGAGAGAGAGAGAGAGAGAGAGAGAGAGAGAGGGGAGGGGG